GUGGUGGCUCAGUGGUAGAGCACUUGCUUGGCAUAUGUGAGGCACUGGGUUCAAUUCUCAGCACCACA
rnacentral:tRNA from 1 species